ACACUGAUGGUGAAGUGGUUAUCAUGCUUGCCUUCCAUCCCUGUGUGAAGCAAGCGGCAGGGGUUCGAUUCCCCUUCAGUGUA
rfam:Termitomyces sp. J132 unplaced genomic scaffold scaffold160, whole genome shotgun sequence.